UAUUGUAAAUAUUAUACCACUUGAUAUCAUUUUAUUUUCAGUGCACAAUAAACUCAGAAAACUUUCCAUCCGUCAUACUUUGAAAUGGGUCACAGUUUUAUCUAAAUUGAACUACUCGACAAAAAAUAACUGCUCGACUGUCAAAUUUUACCUAAAAGUUAAAAUAAUUGACGAGAUGGUCCACGGCCUUAGGAAUUACUUGCGGCAGCAGUAAGGUGGACAUGCAGCGCGAGUGUUAAAAGAGAAACUAGCCCUCUAAGAACUAAGCGCCGAGUGGAUGUGAUAUUUAGCUUACGGACCAACAACGACCAGUUUCUUUUCUUCAGUUAAUUUUGAUUGUUAUCAUUUUGAGAUGAGUAAAAAAAAGUUUCAUAAAAAAACAAGGUUAAUCAAAUAAUCACCGUGUGUAAAUUGUAAUAACUGCGAAAGUUUUCAUUUGUUUGUCAACCCCUCCCAAACGGGGGUCGUUUUGUUUUUUUUU